rnacentral:lncRNA from 1 species
CGCUGAUCCAGGCAGGACGCUGCUGAAAGUUGCUGUGACUCUAGACUAUACCAAGUUGAUAAAAACGAACCAUCAUAACCAUCAAGAUUACCAUCAAAUCAUCGUCACCACCACAGUCAUCACCCUCCUCACUGUCACCACCCUCACGGUCGUCUAUCUUGUUCCAGGACGGAUGAUGUGGCCGUCACAUUUCCUUGUACCUGCUUCCCAGGUUAUACAGGUGGCAAGCCUAGGGAUUUGGACUGGAACGCUGGUCUCCUAGGAUCAGCCAAGCACGAUAUUGCUGCCUUACGCUCACACAAGGGAGGCAAGUGCCCUAACCCCCAUGCUGCCUUCAGACCAAUGCCAAGUGUCAUCUCCCUCAUGACUGGGCUGCCAGAUCUUUACACAGCACAACCAAGCUCUGAGUUACUUCCCAACUCCGCC